UCCCGUGUGGCUCAGUUGGUAGAGCAUGGUGUUUGCAACGCCAGGGUUGUGGGUUAUAUUCCCACAGGGGAC
rfam:Salmo salar isolate Sally breed double haploid chromosome ssa10, whole genome shotgun sequence.